rnacentral:lncRNA from 14 species
AACCAGCUGUUACAAGAUAUAAAUGAACAAUUUACUGGCUGAACUCAGCACAUGUUCUCAAGCUAUUGGAAACUCUGUCACCAUCAUUUGGGAAAUACUUGGUUAUUACAUCAUCUCACAGCUAUUCGCCUUCCUAUACCUGACCAUGCACACAGCUUGCCCACCAGUUGCACAUCACAGCACUUACUGACACUGCUGCAUAACAGCAAGUUUCUGUAUUGCUCAAUCCAACUUGGAAGUGCCAUGAAACAGGGAAGUCGAUGUAACACACCAUUCCAUGCUCAGCAGACCACUGUGCUAUGGGAAGGCAGGCAGAGAGCUCCGCACUUCCUGGUGGCUCUCUGAACAGAGGCAGAGCAGGCUGCAGCACCGUGCCUUGGCCAUGCCUCAGUCAGGCGCAGUGCUACCGGAGAUGUCUUCCUUCAGCAUUCCAGCUGGGAUCUCUCCAAGAGACUACGCUGCACUUCAUGGAGAAACCUGCUCCGCUGGCGCCAGCUCGCGUGUCUGUAGCACGGAAUAGCAAAGCUGGCACAAGAAGAAAGGAAUAGUCUCACAUUUGCUCCGGGAGAGAGCCUGUCAGGAGACAAGUCAGUUUUCUGCAAUUAUUCCCAAAAUCAGCUUGUCAAGCAAGAUGCUUGUGGAGCAUCCUGGAUUUAGCUUGGCCUCCAAACACAUAGGCAGACUGAGGACUGGUAUACAAAAUGAAGUAAAUAUGUCCUUCUGUUUUGGUGAAACAUAGACUAUCCAGUAGGGAUCAGUGAGAACUUCAGUUUCUUUUACUCAAAGGAUUCAUUUUAGGAUAAAGAAUUCAGAGUUUCUUAAAGCAGGAACUUUAACCUCACAAAGGAUUAAACCAUAGAAUUGAUGCCAUAAGAAAAUACUUAGGAAGCACAGGCUGCUCAAGCCAAGCAGGAAACAUAGUAUCAAAGCUUUGAAAACAGACGUUUUAAUACAAGUGGUUUUAGAAAUGAACUAACAAAAUGAAAUUGGAUCUGAUGCUGACAUGAUAGGCUUGUAAAGCAGGCUUGUGUGAGGAGCUAAAAUCACCCAUCCUGCUGUAUGUCUGCUCCAUGAGAUAGCACCAAGUAGUCAGAACAGAGGGCAAACAAUACAGUGUUAUAUUUGGUCAUAGAACCAUAGAAUGGUUUGGGUUAGAA